GCCGCAUCUACUGCGAGGAUGAAGACCAUUCUCAGCAAUCAGACUGUGGACAGCCCAGAAAAUGUGGACAUCACUCUGAAGAGAUGCACUGUUAUUGUGAAGGUCCCCAGAGGCACCCUGCGGAGGGACUUCAACCACAUCAGUGUAGAGCUCAGUCUCCUUGGAAAGAAAAAGAAGAGGCUCUGGGUUGACAAGUGGUGGGGAAAUAGAAAGGAACUGGCUACAGUUCGCACUGUCUGUAGUCAUGUACAGACCAUGAUCAAGGGUGUUACACUGGGCUUCCGUUACAAGAUGAGGUCUAUGUAUGCUCACUUCCCCAUCAAUGUCAUUAUUCAGGAGAAUGGUUCUCUUGUUGAAAUUAGAAAUUUCUUGGGAGAAAAAUACAUCCGCAGAGUUCGGAUGAGGUCAGGCAUUGCUUGUUCAGUAUCUCAAGCCCAGAAAGAUGAGUUGAUUCUUGAAAGAAAUGACAUUGAACUUGUAUCAAAUUCAGCAAGCCACAACAGUUAAAAACAGGAUAUCAGAAAAUUUUGGGAUGGUAUCUAUGUUUCUGAAAAAGGAACAGUUCAGCAGGCUGAUGAAUAAGAUCUAAGUUGUCCAGCUAUAGAAACAUCAAGAUG